rnacentral:rRNA from 1 species
AGCUCUGUAAGCGUAUACCAAAGUUGUUGCAGUUAAAACGCUCGUAGUCGGACGUUGGCGGGCGUCGCAUGUCAGCCGAAAGGUUGAUCUUGAGGCGGCCGCCUUUGUGGAGGGGGGCUUUGUGGUGCUUCAUUGUCAUCGCAGAGUCGCUGCCACCGUUUACUGUGAAAAAAUUAGAGUGUUCAAAGCGGGCGUUUGCCAUGAAUACAUUAGCAUGGAAUAAUAGAAUAGGACCUGGUCCUGUUUUGUUGGUUUGUGAGUAUCAGGUAAUGAUUAAGAGGGACGGUUGGGGGCAUUUGUAUUCCGACGUUAGAGGUGAAAUUCUUGGAUCGUCGGAAGACAAACAGCUGCGAAAGCGUCUGCCAAGGACGUUUUCA